GGUUUCGGGGAGACACAAAUGGGUCUUUUAAAGGGAAAAGAGAGGGUGGUCUGGCGUCGCCGACACUAAGAGAGGGAAAGGAUGACUGGGCGGCGAUCGACGCUCGAGGGGAAGGGUGUUGGGCUGGCCGUGGGUUGCUGCGGGGUGGUCAUUGGUGGCAGCAGGCUGCUAUGGGUGGCUAGGUUGGUUUUAGGUUUGUUUUUUUUUUACAUUUUUUUUGUCUAUUUGUUUUUCAACCAAUUAUAUAUUGACACGGGUGCAAAAAAAAAAAAAACUAAUUUACAAAUGUUUACCUGAUUAACCGGUUGCAAGUCAUUUGGGUGCAAUAGAAAUUAAUACCCCCUAAAUUUGGGAGUGAUGGGGAAUAAUCCAAACACUGCUACAAAAAUUGGAAAACAUACUGCUUAUGAAAGACCCGUUAUUUAAUAAACGGGUCUGUUUGAUGUAAGAGAUCCAAUAUUUAAUAUAACGGAUCUCUUAUAUAUCCUAGGUCCCACUACUAAAGAAUAUAUGAGAUAUAAAAGACUUAAUUAUGCACUCAACGGGUCUUUUAGGUGUACUAGGGCCCACACACUUGAUUGAAGAACAAAAGAUGAAAGGAUAUGAAACCCGUUAUUAAAUUUCACGGGUCUCUUCCUUCGUCCUUUAAUGCAUGCUCUCUUAUUUUUACAUUCUCUCUCCUCAAAACCCUAACCUCAAUCCCCAAAUUUAAAUCCUCAUCUUCUCUUCCAUCCUCCGACUAUCUUCCAAGCUAUAAAAAUUUCCUAAAAAUGUUGAAGCGACUCCUACCAUCUCCUUAAGAAAAUCAUGCUCUAAGAAUUCAACCAUGAAAUCGUUCGUGGUCAUCUUGUUCGCUGUUUUUAAAAGGCCUUGAUGUCGGUUUCUGGGUUUUUUUUUUUUGUUUUGUUUAUACGUCCCUCAGAGUCACGGUCGAGAAAUGCCGGCAUCUCCUUACGCUGAUUCAAUAGCAACUGGGAUUUGUUCAAAGAAAUGAAGUAUAUGAAUUAAAUGGAGAUAGUGGACGAAAUUUUCAACUACGGGAAGGAAGACAUAAUUAUGAUUUGCAAAUUUGUUGACUGCAAUACUUUGGUGCGUGGGGUUGAAAGAUUAAUAUCAAUUGAAUAUGUUUAGGAAUUGUGUUUGUAUAACUUGUUGAACUAAAGAGUUUUAAUUUUUUCGUUUUGUAAUUAUAUACUUGUAAAUUUAGAUCUAUAGCUUUGUAAAUGUUGUAUUUUUUUCUUUCUUUCUCUUCGUAAAUGUUGUAUAAUACUAAUGUUGUUAUUUAAAAGAAAUAUUAUUGAUGUUAAAUUGUAAUU